rnacentral:rRNA from 1 species
GUGGGGAAUAUUGGACAAUGGGCGAAAGCCUGAUCCAGCCAUGCCGCGUGUGUGAAGAAGGUCUUCGGAUUGUAAAGCACUUUAAGUUGGGAGGAAGAGCAGUAAGUUAAUACCUUGCUGUUUUGACGUUACCGACAGAAUAAGCACCGGCUAACUUCGUGCCAGCAGCCGCGGUAAUACGAAGGGUGCAAGCGUUAAUCGGAAUUACUGGGCGUAAAGCGCGCGUAGGUGGUUUUGUAAGUUGGAGGUGAAAUCCCCGGGCUCAACCUGGGAACUGCCUCCAAAACUGCAUGACUAGAGUACGGUAGAGGGUAGUGGAAUUUCCUGUGUAGCGGUGAAAUGCGUAGAUAUAGGAAGGAACACCAGUGGCGAAGGCGACUACCUGGACUGAUACUGACACUGAGGUGCGAAAGCGUGGGGAGCAAACAGGAUUAGAAACCCUAGUAGUCC